UGGGGGAAUUUUGGACAAUGGGCGAAAGCCUGAUCCAGCAAUGCCGCGUGUGUGAAGAAGGCCUUCGGGUUGUAAAGCACUUUUGUCCGGAAAGAAAUCCUUGGCUCUAAUACAGUCGGGGGAUGACGGUACCGGAAGAAUAAGCACCGGCUAACUACGUGCCAGCAGCCGCGGUAAUACGUAGGGUGCAAGCGUUAAUCGGAAUUACUGGGCGUAAAGCGUGCGCAGGCGGUUUGCUAAGACCGAUGUGAAAUCCCGGGCUCAACCUGGGAACUGCAUUGGUGACUGGCAGGCUAGAGUAUGGCAGAGGGGGGUAGAAUUCCACGUGUAGCAGUGAAAUGCGUAGAGAUGUGGAGGAAUACCGAUGGCGAAGGCAGCCCCCUGGGCCAAUACUGACGCUCAUGCACGAAAGCGUGGGGAGCAAACAGGAUUAGAUACCCUGGUAGUCCACGCCCU
rnacentral:rRNA from 1 species